rnacentral:rRNA from 1 species
AGAGUUUGAUCAUGGCUCAGAUUGAACGCUGGCGGCAGGCUUAACACAUGCAAGUCGAGCGGAGAUGAGGUGCUUGCACCUUAUCUUAGCGGCGGACGGGUGAGUAAUGCUUAGGAAUCUGCCUAUUAGUGGGGGACAACAUUCCGAAAGGAAUGCUAAUACCGCAUACGUCCUACGGGAGAAAGCAGGGGAUCUUCGGACCUUGCGCUAAUAGAUGAGCCUAAGUCGGAUUAGCUAGUUGGUGGGGUAAAGGCCUACCAAGGCGACGAUCUGUAGCGGGUCUGAGAGGAUGAUCCGCCACACUGGGACUGAGACACGGCCCAGACUCCUACGGGAGGCAGCAGUGGGGAAUAUUGGACAAUGGGGGGAACCCUGAUCCAGCCAUGCCGCGUGUGUGAAGAAGGCCUUAUGGUUGUAAAGCACUUUAAGCGAGGAGGAGGCUACUGAGACUAAUACUCUUGGAUAGUGGACGUUACUCGCAGAAUAAGCACCGGCUAACUCUGUGCCAGCAGCCGCGGUAAUACAGAGGGUGCGAGCGUUAAUCGGAUUUACUGGGCGUAGAGCGUGCGUAGGCGGCUUUUUAAGUCGGAUGUGAAAUCCCCGAGCUUAACUUGGGAAUUGCAUUCGAUACUGGGAAGCUAGAGUAUGGGAGAGGAUGGUAGAAUUCCAGGUGUAGCGGUGAAAUGCGUAGAGAUCUGGAGGAAUACCGAUGGCGAAGGCAGCCAUCUGGCCUAAUACUGACGCUGAGGUACGAAAGCAUGGGGAGCAAACAGGAUUAGAUACCCUGGUAGUCCAUGCCGUAAACGAUGUCUACUAGCCGUUGGGGCCUUUGAGGCUUUAGUGGCGCAGCUAACGCGAUAAGUAGACC